AUCUCACCAACUAUUCCAUUUGCUUGCAAUGGAUGCAUGGAGCUGGUUGCCUGCUUUCAUGUCUGCCUUGGCUCUUUUCUUCCUUUCUUUUGGCCUACAAGAAAGAAGAAAGCAUGUCCUACCCAAAAGGCACUGUCCUUUUAAUUUCCACACGAAAGCAAAUCCGGUGUACCGCCCUGGCGAUGAUGAGGAUUUCUGCUGAACUCUGU
rnacentral:lncRNA from 1 species